rnacentral:rRNA from 1 species
UUGUUGGAGUCUUAGGCUUCAGUGACGCAGAGAAAUCAUUAAGCAUACCGCCUGGGGAGUACGGUCGCAAGAUUAAAACUCAAAGGAAUUGACGGGGACCCGCACAAGCGGUGGAGCAUGUUGUUUAAUUCGAAGCAACGCGAAGAACCUUACCCACACUUAACUAUCCUCUUGGGGCUUUCAGAGAUGAUCGCUUUCGGUUCGGCCGGGGAGUGAAUAGGUGCUGCAUGGCUGUCGUCAGCUCGUGUCGUGAGAUGUUAGGUUAAGUCCUGCAACGAGCGCAACCCUUAUCGUAUGUUGCCAUCAGGUUAUGCUGGGAACUCAUGCGAGACUGCCGGUGACAAGCCGGAGGAAGGCGGGGACGACGUCAAGUCAUCAUGGCCCUUACGUGUGGGGCUACAAACGUGCUACAAUGGUAACGACAAUGGGCAGCCACUCCGCGAGGAGGCGCUAAUCUCCAAACGUUAUCUCAGUUCGGAUUGUUCUCUGCAACUCGAGAGCAUGAAGUUGGAAUCGCUAGUAAUCGUGCAUCAGCAUGUCACGGUGAAUACGUUCCCGGGUCUUGUACACACCGCCCGUCACGUCAUGGGAGUUGGUUCUACCCGAAGGCCGUGUGCUAACCAGUUUACUGGAGGCAGCGGACCACGGUAGGGUCAGCGACUGGGACGAAGUCGUAACAAGGUAGCCG